UAACACCCUAACCACAUUUUCCAUGAUGAGUGAAUCAGACUGACGAAAGCCUGAAUAUAACCAUUGUAAUGACUACUUCACUGCUUUGAGAAAAUGAAGCCCCAGCUCUGCUCCUCACCUUUAGCUUACCUGCUGAUGUUCUCCAUUCUUCUGACCGUAAAUGGGCAAAAACAGCUGGCGGUGACACAACCAGAGGUGGUGAGAGCAGAGGCUGGAGGAUCGGUGGCCAUCACCUGCUCGUUUGCAUCUGAUAUUCCCUCCUACUCUGGGACAUGGACCUUAGGGUGCAAUACUUCUGAGAAUCUUCAGGAUCUCCCGUGUUUCAAACGCAGGGUAAACAUCUCUUCCCCAGAUCCUGGUCAGACACCAGACAGCCGACAUGGAGAACCCAACUAUGAGGUGAAUGUGACAAUCACUAUCAUCAACCUGACAGAGAGCGACUCAGGAACCUUCUGUUGUCAUGUGAAGACUCCUAGUAUGGCGGGAACUGGACCCGGAACAAGACUGGAGGUCACUCCGAGAUCUACUCCUAAAUCAGGAAACAGGACAUGAAAAGUAUAUUCUCUUCAGCGUCAUAGGGGCAGAAGCAUUUGUUAUAAUUAUCCUGAUUGCUGUGGUUAUUAAGUGUCGCGCCCGAGGAUUAUCAAGAUCUGAGGACCAGGGUCUGCAGUCGCAUCCUUCAGAGCUACAGUAUGCCGACAUCUGCAAGAAAAGUUACCCUCAGCAUUCAAGACCAAGAAUCAAUGUGCAAGAAGUCACCUACUCCGCUGUCAAGAUUAAGAACGAAGAACAGGACUAUAACUUAUAUUAAUCCAUGUUUUAAAGGAACUCUCCGGACAAAGAUAAUACACUGUGUUAUGCCUAACACUGGGCAAAAAAGGGAGGUGUGUGACACAGGGGUAGAAGAAAACCAGAGAAUUUGUGUCUUGCUCCGCCCCUCCACGGAAGACAUAACACAGUGUGUUAGGUUAUCCUGGAAUAUUCCUUUAUGUGCAUGCUGUAAAUUUCAUCAAGCUGAU